GAUAUAGCUGUGUUGGAAGAGUGUGAGACUCUUAAUCUCAGGGUUGUGGGUUUGAGCCCCACGUUGGGCCA